UGUAGGCUGCAACUCGCCUACAUGAAGUCGGAAUUGCUAGUAAUCGCGGAUCAGCAUGCCGCGGUGAAUACGUUCCCGGGCCUUGUACACACCGCCCGUCACACCAUGGGAGUCGGUAACACCCGAAGCCUGUAGUCUAACCGCAAGGGGGACGCAGUCGAAGGUGGGAUUGAUGACUGGGGUGAAGUCGUAACAAGGUACC
rnacentral:rRNA from 1 species